rnacentral:lncRNA from 1 species
CCCAUCCUCCAAGGUAACAACCUGUGUUCUCUACUGCUCUGCCCUAACCCAUCCUCCAAGGUAACAACCUGUGUUCUCUACUCCUCUGCCCUAACCCAUCCUCCAAGGUAACAACCUGUGUUUUCUACUGCUCUGCCCUAACCCAUCCUCCAAGGUAACAACCUGUGUUCUCUAUUCCUCUGCCCUAACCCAUCCUCCAAGGUAACAACCUGUGUUCUCUGCUGCUCUGCCCUAACCCAUCCUCCAAGGUAUCAAGGAGGGUGUCAAGAUACAUGUCAAUCAUCUCAAUGAGGAGGGUCUCCAAAGGAGACGAGCCAAUAGGAGACAGAGGCCAUGAGAGCACAUUGGAUUGGUUGUCAAACUUGCAAGAUCCCACAGUUCCUCUCCUCCCUCCUCCUCCUCCUCUUCACUGUGAUCCUGCAUAUACAACAGGGCCUGUUCAUACUCUUGUCAUACAACGGUGGCCUUAGAGUGCACGUUGAGCCACGGACCUAGGUUGAGAGGAGACACCACCUAUACUCAAUGGCAUUUUCUUGAUCACAUAGGCCUGCAUUUGACUGAUUUGACAUUUGAGAGUCUCAUAGCACUUCUUCAAUACUGUGAACAGUAUUAGGUCAUUAGGUCUCACCUGCCUCACCCUCAGCAUUCUUUCACCUGCUGUCUGAACCUCAACAUCGACUACAGGCUCCCCCCUCUGCACGUCAACCUGAGAGAUGGAUGGAGGAGGAGAAAGGCUGGAUGGGGAAGAAGAGAAGGGUGUGAUUCUGUUGGAGAAGAAAGGGAUGGAGAGAAGGAUAAGAGAGAAGGAGGGAUAGACGCCUUUUGCCCAUUUGUGAUAUUACAGAGGACUGAAUAUUCUAUGAAAGAUUUUUCAUUAGUGCUCCUAACUGUUUGGGGGGGCUGUGCUUGUAUGAAACACCUGUUGGACAAGAGCCUCUUCGCUCUACACACAGUCUUAUUUCCAUUAUAAUGACAGAUGGAGGCUGACUCAUUUUACCCAUUAAAAGAGGCACUACCGUGGGCAAACAGCUGAGUCCAUGCUGGGUUAGAGUACAUGAAAGUUCCAUAAUCACAGGGUCAAUAUUAUUCAUUCAUCCACUAAGGGUUAAAGUUGGGAUUUGGGGACCCAUCUAAAAAAGGUAUUCAGACACCAAGACUGGAGGCCGCUGUGUAAUAGGGUGAGCUGGUGUAAAUGCAUCUGAGGGGGUGUAGUACACAAAUGUAGGAGCUGGAUUUGGUGGGUAGAAAAGUGCACUUAUGAUGACACUGUUAACAAAGGUGUGCUGAUUGGUCUAUACACUAUUAAUGGUGUGUUAGUCACCAGACAGAGUCCCAGGGGAGUGAAGCAACAAACUGCUGAGACUGUCUCUCUCUUUGGUAAUUACAUGUAAUUACUCAGUAACUAAUAACUCAUUUCACACAGACUAUAGCCAGUAUCAAUUCACCAAAACUGAUCUUAUCAGCAUCAUCCUACUCAUGUUAGCCUAUCAGCAUCUUCAUACUCAUGUUAGCCUAUCAGCAUUAUCAUACUCAUGUUAGCCUAUCAGCAUCUUCAUACUUAUGUUAGCCUGUCAGCAUCAUCAUACUCAUGUUAGCCUAUCAGCAUCUUCAUACUUAUGUUAGCCUAUCAGCAUCUUCAUACUUAUGUUAGCCUAUCAGCAUCAUCCUACUCAUGUUAGCCUAUCAGCAUCAUCCUACUCAUGUUAGCCUAUCAGCAUCAUCAUACUCAUGUUAGCCUAUCAGCAUUAUCCUACUCAUGUUAGCCUAUCAGCAUCAUCCUACUCAUGUUAGCCUAGCUUACCUUUCUGUCUCCUCCAGAACCCUGUGUCUGAGGAGGAGGGUCCUCCCUGCUGCCACUCAUGGUCGACCAAUCAGAGUCAGAUCAGAAUGUGCAGUGCCUGUAAACAAAACAUGAUGUCAGAUAUUUGGUUAUUCCUAAUCUCAUUCCCAGACACUUCUGCCCAAAGUUGUUCGAAACAUUUCAUGAAAUGGUGGAGCAAAUGAAUGACUUUCUCUGGAAAACAAAUGACUAUCUCUCUCUCUCUAACUCUUUCUGACAAUUUAUGAGUCCUUCAUAGACAGCAUACUGUAAAUGUUUUGCAUUGUAAAUGGCCCCUAUAGACCACAAUAUAAAGGUACGCCUAUUGAGCCUCAUGCUAGUGUAACCCCAAUCUACUUGAUGUGUAAUUUAACACACCUAGCCAUGUAAGACUAUAUCAGGUAGUUCACCUUUGUCAAACACACCAUGAAUACUUUAUAUUAGGAUAUCUUCAUUAUGUGUCUGUUCUUGUCAGCUGUUUGCACCGAAUACUUUGAUGUGAAAUUCUCAUGUCCGUAAAAAAUCAUAACAUUACCAUGUCGAGGUGAGGGAAAAGGUUAAGGAAAAUUUGGAAAAUUACUUCCUCCUUCUCACUGUUUCCAAUGGUAACACGAACAACCAAUCAUAGAGACUUCUGAAGUGAACAUCGUCCUUUUGUCUCUGUGCUCGUUGCUCGACUGCAUGUUGCGGGUCGCAGCCGAUGAUUUAUAUAUACAUUGGUUGCAACAAGUGAGUUGAACCGAAUAUUUUAACAAUCAAAUGUAUGCUAUUCUAUAGCCUCUAUACUUUAAAAUCUCUAUACAGGCCUGGCCUGUCAAUUCUUGAUUAAAGCAUCUGUCUAAUGUUUAGAGGAACAGUCCAGAGACUGGAACAGCCACUGCAUCUAGCCAGCCCAGCGAACUACUUCAUGUGUGCCAUAAAGGUCCAGACCUCUUGUCACAGACUAGAGAGAGCCUUCACUUAUGUUCAUGCACCAUGAUGAUAUGAAUGAAUGGAAACAAAAACAAAACUGUUUAUAGCCAUGUAAUUAAAUACAGGGCCUAUUAACACCCCUUGACUUAUUCCACAUGUUGUUGUGUUGUGAUUUUUUUCUAAC